rnacentral:misc_RNA from 1 species
CCUUCUUCUUUUUAAGUGUCUCUGGCGACGGUGCCGGGGCUGGUGGUUUAGGGGUAAAAAUAUCUAUAGGAAGUAGCACCUUGUCAACCUGAUAAACGGCAAGUUGCCCAUCGGUGUACACAGCGCCAGAUACACUUGUAUUUGUAAGUCCUGUGGAGAUAUUGACAGCAUUCCCUGUGGUGGUUAUAUUAAGCUGAAAUCUAUCGCCUGAUCCUGCCUGUGUGGUCACAGG